AUGGCCUCUGAGAGCGUCUUGAGAUACAUCAUCAUCCCAGAGUUAGUUAUGUAUCAUGUGUCCGCCUCCUCAACGAUGGCGCCAGCUCUCAUCAGCAGGUGUUGUAACCUCUCCACCACCUUCUCCUCCUCUGAUUGGGCAUGCCUCAAGGAGUUAUACUUGUUCAUCAGGAAGGAGAUGGACUGGCUCAUGAGUUCACCUACAACUGCAGACAUGGCAACCUCCAUGGCUUGA
rnacentral:rRNA from 1 species